UUUAUUUCUUCUUCUUCUUCUUCUUGUCUCUGCUCACAGUGGGGAGCCUCGCCCUCAAUAUCCCUGCCACCAAGCUCGCCCACUCUGCCAUCCACUCCUCUUCCUCCCCCUAUUUCUAUAAGAUCAAGCUCAACAGCCUCCCCCUCUAGAUCGCCCUCAUCCCCUACCUCCUGCUCGACUCCGCCGCCCACCCCCUCGGGACAACGUCGCCUUCCCUCCUGGGGGACAGGG
rnacentral:lncRNA from 1 species